rnacentral:rRNA from 1 species
AAAGACUGGAUAGAAGAUUGGUCAGAUGAUGAAAAUUCAGAUCGUGGAGAUCGGUCAAAGAAUGGGAACGAAUGGGACGAUCUUAAUAUCGAUGAGCUUGAUGAUGAUCAGGAAAACAACUCAGAGCUCUCGAAUGAAGAUUACAUUAGUCAGGCACGGAACUCAUUUCCGAAUGUCAUAAUGCGUACGACUAUUACGUCGUCGGUCAUCAUGAGUGAGGUGACACAAGAUGAUGGGGCAAAGAAUGUCCAAGAUAUUGCCAGUGCAGAUGAUAAGAGGGAUAUGUUCAUGCAGAUAAUGGAAAUGACCUUUACGUCUCACGAUGCUACGUAUGAUUUCUACAACAGCUAUGCUAGAGAUAAUGGUUUCAGCAUUAGAAAGAAUAAGGUCAGACAAGGGAAACGUGACGGCAAGUUGCUAACCGAGGAAGGACACAGCCGUAGGCUCAGAGCCGAGACACGCUGCUUUUGCGAAGCGCACCUGACCGUCAAGCUUGACCAAAAGCGUGGGGUUUGGUAUGUUGAAAGUUUUGAAGACAAGCAUAGCCAUAUGUUGGCAGGACCGGACGAGGUACCUUUUCUUUGGUCCCACAGAAAAAUCAAAGAGUACCAGAAGCAUGAGAUAAUGUCCAUGGGAGCUGCAGGGAUUAGAAUUCACGACAUGAUGGAUUCCUUCAUCAACAAACAUGUAUGGUACGGCGGUGUUGGUUUUACCAGGUGUGAAAUAUACAACCUUUGCGCUAGGGAGAAGAGGAAGCUGCUUUCAAAAGGUGAUGCUGCCACAGCCAUAGGCAUCAUGGCCAGUAGGAAACAGAGGGAUCCUAGCUUCUUUUUCGAGUACAAGCUAGAUAAGGAAGGACAUUUGAAUAGGAUGUUCUGGUGCGACUCCCAGUCUCGUCAUGACUAUGAGGACUUCGGCGACGUGCUUGUAUUUGACAGCACGUACAAGAUGAACCGCUAUGGUAUUGCCAUUCAUACCUUUUGUUGGUCUUAA